AGCCAAUAGAUACCCGGGUAGUCCACGCCGUAAACUAUGGAUGCUAGCUGUUAGAGGUAUCGACCCCUCUAGUAGCGAAAGCUAACGCGUUAAGCAUCCCGCCUGUGGAGUACGGUCGCAAGACUAAAACAUAAAGGAAUUGACGGGGACCCGCACAAGCGGUGGAGCGUGUUGUUUAAUUCGAUGGUAAGCGAAGAACCUUACCCAGGCUUGACAUCCUUGGAAUUUUGGCGAAAGCCGAGAGUGCCUUCGGGAACCAAGUGACAGGUGUUGCAUGGCCGUCGUCAGCUCGUGUCGUGAGAUGUUUGGUUAAGUCCAUCAACGAGCGCAACCCUUACUAGUUAGUUGAAUUUUCUAGCUAGACUGCCCUGGCAACAGGGAGGAAGGAGGGGAUGAUGUCAGGUCAGUAUUACCCUUACGUCUGGGGCUACAAACACGCUACAAUGGCCGGUACAAAGGGCAGCCAAGUCGCGAGACGGAGC
rnacentral:rRNA from 1 species